GACGAACGCUGGCGGCGUGCUUAACACAUGCAAGUCGAACGAAGUGGCGAACGGGUGAGUAACGCGUAAUCAACCUGCCCUUCAGCGGGGGACAACAGUUGGAAACGACUGCUAAUACCGCAUACUGAAGGAGGGGUUUGCGUCGGAUUAGCUAGGUGGAGGGGUAACGGCCCACCAAGGCGAGGAUCAGUAGGCGGUUUGGGGGGAUGAACGGCCACCAUGGGACUGAGGCACGGCCCAGACUUCCACCGGAGGCAGCCGUGGGGAAUCUUCCGCCAUGGAAGAAAGUCUGACGGAGCAACGCCGCGUGAGUGAUGACGGCCUUCGGGUUGUAAAGCUCUGUUAAUCGGGACGCGGUACCGGAAUAGGAAGCCACGGCUAACUACGUGCCAGCAGCCGCGGUAAUAC
rnacentral:rRNA from 1 species